rnacentral:rRNA from 1 species
AUGUGUAACAACAGCGGUGGCCGCGGCGGGGCGAUGGCGGCUCGGAAGGGGCCGUGGACGGAGAACGAGGACGCCCAACUGGUAUGGUUCGUGCGCUUGCUCGGCGAACGCCGUUGGGAUUUCUUAGCUCAGGUCUCAGGUCUCCGGCGCACCGGCAAGAGCUGCCGCCUCCGCUGGGUCAACUACCUCCACCCGGGCCUCAAGCGCGGCCGCAUCACCGCCGACGAGGAGCGCCUCAUCCUCAGCCUCCACGCCGAGUGGGGCUCCCGCUGGUCCAGGAUCGCCAGGAAGCUCCCCGGCCGCACCGACAACGAGAUCAAGAACUACUGGAGGACGCACAUGAGGAAGAAGGCCCAGGAGGAGAAGAUGCUCGCCAAGAACAAGGCCUCCUCCUCGCCGUCCUCCUCCUCCGCCGACUCCACGUCGCUUACGACGACGACCUGCUCGGCCUCCCCAACGGCCACGUCCUCCUCGGCGGCGACCACCGAGGAGGCGCCGCAGGAAAGUACUACCAGCAUGGACGACGAGGCCGAGGAGGAGGCCGCCACGUCGGCGAGCGAGGAGAAGAAGGCGGAGGUGGUGCAGUACUGCUCCCCCGUGGACAUGGACCAGCUCUGGAACGACAUCGCCGCGUCGGAGAGGUACCCGGAGAUGAUGAUGAGCUGGGGCGUAGCCGGCCACGUGGUCAUGCCCGCCCCCGCCGUGGAGCCUUCGUCGCCGGUAUGGGAGUUCUGCGAGGAUUACUCCCUGUGGAGGAUCGACGACCAAGAGUACUACAACAAGAUCGAUCAACACGCUCUGAAUUGA